GCUCCGGUGACCUAAUGGUUAGAGCGUUCGCCUCAGAUGCAGGAUGUUUCGGGUUCGAACCCCGGCCGUGUCG